GAUGAACGCUGGCGGCGUGCCUAAUACAUGCAAGUCGAGCGAACAGAUGAGGAGCUUGCUCCUCUGACGUUAGCGGCGGACGGGUGAGUAACACGUGGAUAACCUACCUAUAUGACUGGGAUAACUUCGGGAAACCGGAGCUACUACCGGAUAAUAUAUUGAACCGCAUGGUUCAAUAGUGAAAGACGGUUUUGCUGUCACUUAUAGCUGGAUCCGCGCCGCAUUAGCUAGUUGGUAAGGUAACGGCUUACCAAGGCAACGAUGCGUAGCCGACCUGAGAGGGUGAUCGGCCACACUGGAACUGAGACACGGUCCAGACUCCUACGGGAGGCAGCAGUAGGGAAUCUUCCGCAAUGGGCGAAAGCCUGACGGAGCAACGCCGCGUGAGUGAUGAAGGUCUUCGGAUCGUAAAACUCUGUUAUUAGGGAAGAACAAAUGUGUAAGUAACUAUGCACGUCUUGACGGUACCUAAUCAGAAAGCCAUGGCUAACUACGUG
rnacentral:rRNA from 1 species